GAUGAACGCUGGCGGCGUGCCUAAUACAUGCAAGUCGAGCGAACAGACGAGGCGCUUGCUCCUCUGACGUUAGCGGCGGACGGGUGAGUAACACGUGGAUAACCUACCUAUAAGACUGGGAUAACUUCGGGAAACCGGAGCUAAUACCGGAUAACAUGUUGAACCGCAUGGUUCAACAGUGAAAGACGGUUUUGCUGUCACUUAUAGAUGGAUCCGCGUCGCAUUAGCUAGUUGGUAAGGUAACGGCUUACCAAGGCAACGAUGCGUAGCCGACCUGAGAGGGUGAUCGGCCACACUAGAGCUGAGACACGGUCCAGACUCCUACGGGAGGCAGCAGUAGGGAAUCUUCCGCAAUGGGCGAAAGCCUGACGGAGCAACGCCGCGUGAGUGAAGAAGGUCUUCGGAUCGUAAAACUCUGUUAUGAGGGAAAAACAAAUGUGUAAGUAACUAUGCACGUCUUGACGGUACCUAAUCAGAAAGCCACGGCUAACUACGUG
rnacentral:rRNA from 1 species